rnacentral:rRNA from 1 species
AGCAGCCGCGGUAAUUCCAGCUCCAAUAGCGUAUAUUAAAGUUGUUGCAGUUAAAAAGCUCGUAGUUGAAUUUCGGGGUUAGUAGGUUGGUCAUGCCUCUGGUAUGUACUGGUCUCACUGAUUCCUCCUUCCUGAUGAGCCGUAAUGCCAUUAAUUUGGUGUUGCGGGGAAUUUGGACUGUUACUUUGAAAAAUUAGAGUGUUUAAAGCAAGCUAACGCUUGAAUACAUUAGCAUGGAAUAAUGAAAUAGGACGUUCGAUCCUAUUUUGUUGGUUUCUAGGAUUGACGUAAUGAUUAAUAGGGAUAGUUGGGGGCAUUAGUAUUCAAUUGUCAGAGGUGAAAUUCUUGGAUUUAUUGAAGACUAACUACUGCGAAAGCAUUUGCCAAGGAUGUUUUCAUUAAUCAAGAACGAAAGUUAGGGGAUCGAAGACGAUCAGAUACCGUCGUAGUCUUAACCAUAAACUAUGCCGACUAGGGAUC